rnacentral:rRNA from 1 species
UCCGGAAUUAUUGGGCGUAAAGAGCUCGUAGGCGGCCUGUUGCGUCCGCUGUGAAAGCCCGGGGCUUAACCCCGGGUCGGCAGUGGAUACGGGCAGGCUAGAGGUAGGUAGGGGAGAAUGGAAUUCCCGGUGUAGCGGUGAAAUGCGCAGAUAUCGGGAGGAACACCGGUGGCGAAGGCGGUUCUCUGGGCCUUACCUGACGCUGAGGAGCGAAAGCGUGGGGAGCGAACAGG